rnacentral:rRNA from 1 species
CCCUUAGAUGUUCUGGGCCGCACACGCGCUACACUGAAGGAGGCAGCGUGUACUCCUGGAUCGAAAGAUUUGGGUAACCCGCGAAUCUCCUUCGUGCUAGGGAUUGAGGUUUGCAAUUAUCCUUCAUGAACGAGGAAUUCCCAGUAAGUGCAAGUCAUAAGCUUGCGCUGACUACGUCCCUGCCCUUUGUACACACCGCCCGUCGCACCUACCGAUUGAAUGGUCCGGUGAAAUCUUCGGAUCUGAGAGAUGUCUGAUUAAUUUCGGACGCCUUUUGGAAAAGUUGUUUAAACCUUACCAUUUAGAGGAAGGUGAAGUCGUANCA